CAUCACCUCUAGCAUUUCCAGUAUUAGAGGCACUGCCUGCCCAGUGACAUCUGUUUAAACGGCCGCGGUAUCCUAACCGUGCAAAGGUAGCAUAAUCACUUGUUCCCUAAAUAGGGACUUGUAUGAAUGGCCACACGAGGGUUUUACUGUCUCUUACUUCCAAUCAGUGAAAUUGACCUUCCCGUGAAGAGGCGGGAAUGACUAAAUAAGACGAGAAGACCCUAUGGAGCUUUAAUUAACUGAUUCACAAAAAACAACACACAAACCUAACCUUCAGGGACAACAAAACUUUUGAUUGAAUCAGCAAUUUCGGUUGGGGUGACCUCGGAGAACAAAACAACCUCCGAGUGAUUUAAAUCCAGACUAACCAGUCAAAAUAUAUAAUCACUUAUUGAUCCAAACCAUUGAUCAACGGAACAAGUUACCCUAGGGAUAACAGCGCAAUCCUAUUCCAGAGUCCAUAUCGACAAUUAGGGUUUACGACCUCGAUGUUGGAUCAAGACAUCCUAAUGGUGCAACCGCUAUUAAGGGUUCGUUUGUUCAACGAUU
rnacentral:rRNA from 1 species